CCUACGGGUGGCAGCAGUGGGGAAUCUUCCGCAAUGGGCGAAAGCCUGACGGAGCAACGCCGCGUGAUCGAAUGAAGGCCUUCGGGUUGUAAAGAUCUGUUGACAGGGACGAAUAAGCCAUGCGAAUAGUUUGGUGUAUGACGGUACCUGUUUAGAAAGCUCCGGCUAACUACGUGCCAGCAGCCGCGGUAAUACGUAGGGAGCAAGCGUUAUCCGGAAUUACUGGGUGUAAAGGGAGCGUAGACGGUUAAGUAAGUCUGGAGUGAAAGGCCGGGGCCCAACCCCGGGACUGCUCUGGAAACUAUUGAACUUGAGUGCAGGAGAGGUAAGCGGAAUUCCUAGUGUAGCGGUGAAAUGCGUAGAUAUUAGGAGGAACACCAGUGGCGAAGGCGGCUUACUGGACUGUAACUGACGUUGAGGCUCGAAAGCGUGGGGAGCAAACAGGAUUAGAUACCCGUGUAGUC
rnacentral:rRNA from 1 species